rnacentral:misc_RNA from 1 species
AGAAAAAAAAUCGAAGCGUCGCUCUUUGUGAAAAAUAUUUAAUAUAUAUUUCGUUUUGGGCGAUUGCCUCGGAAUUGAGCCGUCUUUCAUAUGUUUAUUCAUGUCAAAGUGGCUUAAAAUUCAUCAAUCUGGUACGAUUUUAAAGCGUAUUUAAGAUCAUCAUUGAUUAAGAACGCGCGAUGACGUAUCAUCUCAUGUAGUACGUUCGACCUGCUUUUGUCAGGCUCAUUCGUAUACGACACUCAAC